UACAGAGGUGGCAAGCGUUGUUCGGAAUCACUGGGCUUAAAGGGUGCGUAGGCGGCGCGGAAAGUUGGGUGUGAAAUCCCUUGGCUUAACCAAGGAACGGCGCCCAAAACUACCGUGCUCGAGGGAGACAGAGGUGAGCGGAACUCAGGGUGGAGCGGUGAAAUGCGUUGAUAUCCUGAGGAACACCGGUGGCGAAGGCGGCUCACUGGGUCUCUUCUGACGCUGAGGCACGAAAGCUAGGGGAGCGAACGGG
rnacentral:rRNA from 1 species